rnacentral:rRNA from 1 species
AUUGAACGCUGGCGGCAGGCCUAACACAUGCAAGUCGAACGAGUGGCGGACGGGUGAGUAAUGUCUGGGAAACUGCAUGAUGGAGGGGGAUACCUACUGGAAACGGUAGCUAAUCCCGCCUACCAUCAGAUGUGCCCAGAUGGGAUUAGCUAGUGGGUGGGGUAACGGCUCACCUAGGCGACGAUCCCUAGCGGGUCUGAGAGGAUGACCAGCCACACUGGAACUGAGACACGGGCCAGACUCCUACGGGAGGCAGCAGUGGGGAAUAUUGCACAAUGGGCGCAAGCCUGAUGCAGCCAUGCCGCGUGUAUGAAGAAGGCCUUCGGGUUUUAAAGUACUUUCAGCGGGGAGGCGUUACCCGCAGAAGAAGCACCGGCUAACUCCGUGCCAGCAGCCGCGGUAAUUC